rnacentral:tRNA from 1 species
GCCUCGGUGGUGUAGUGCUCAGCUCGCCUGGUAAUCAGGAGGGCGUGGGUUCGAUUCCACCCGAGGUA